rnacentral:rRNA from 1 species
GAUGAACGCUGGCGGCGUGCCUAAUACAUGCAAGUCGAGCGAACGGACGAGAAGCUUGCUUCUCUGAUGUUAGCGGCGGACGGGUGAGUAACACGUGGAUAACCUACCUAUAAGACUGGGAUAACUUCGGGAAACCGGAGCUAAUACCGGAUAAUAUUUUGAACCGCAUGGUUCAAAAGUGAAAGACGGUCUUGCUGUCACUUAUAGAUGGAUCCGCGCUGCAUUAGCUAGUUGGUAAGGUAACGGCUUACCAAGGCAACGAUGCAUAGCCGACCUGAGAGGGUGAUCGGCCAAACGGGAACUGAGACACGGGCCAGACUCCUACGGGAGGCAGCAGUAGGGAAUCUUCCGCAAUGGGCGAAAGCCUGACGGAGCAACGCCGCGUGAGGGAUGAAGGUCUUCGGAUCGUAAAACUCUGUUAUUAGGGAAGAAAAUAUGUGUAAGUAACUGUGCACAUCUUGACGGUACCUAAUCAGAAAGCCACGGCUAACUACGUG